AUUGAACGCUGGCGGCAGGCCUAACACAUGCAAGUCGAGCGAGCGGCAGACGGGUGAGUAAUGUAUGGGGACUGCCCGAUAGAGGGGGGUAACUACUGGAAACGGUAGCUAAUACCGCAUACUAUCGGAUAACCCAUAUGGGAUUAGCUAGUAGGUGGGGUAAUGGCGCACCUAGGCGACGAUCCCUAGCUGGUCUGAGAGGCUGAUCAGCCACACUGGGACUGAGACACGGUCCAGACUCCUACGGAGGCAGCAGUGGGGAAUAUUGCACAAUGGGCGCAAGCCUGAUGCAGCCAUGCCGCGUGUAUGAAGAAGGCCUUCGGGUUGUAAAGUACUUUCAGUCGGUAGGCGUUACCUACAGAAGAAGCACCGGCUAACUCCGUGCCAGCAGCCGCGGUAAUAC
rnacentral:rRNA from 1 species